GGAGUUGAUCAGACAGUCGCCUCAUAUCAUGCAUAUGGGGAGGAAAGUCCGGACUCCGCCGGGCAAGGCGCCAGGUAACACCUGGGAGGCGAGAGCCUACGGAAAGUGCCGCAGAAAGCAAACCGCCUAAGUUCUGAUUCGAAAGGGUUGGGACCGGUAAGGGUGAAAGGGUGCGGUAAGAGCGCACCGCGCUGAUGGUAACAUCAGUGGCAGGGCAAACCCCGCCUGGAGCAAGACCAAAUAGGGAAACAAUGGUGUGGCCCACACUGUUUCCGGGUAGGUUGCAUGAGACGUAUGGUGACAUGCGCCCUAGAUGAAUGGCUGUCCUCGACAGAAUCCGGCUUAUCGAUCAAUACCCCGC
rnacentral:RNase_P_RNA from 1 species